ACGUUAUAUUAUUAUAAUAUAGAGUAUGCACGUAGUAUGUAUUUCCUAAAAAGCGUUUUAGUAAUAUUUACAGCGAUAUUUAAUUAUAAUUUAUCGUUAUUGCAGUUUUUGGAGCCUUCAUGUUUCCAGGAAGAAAACUUAGUUGAUUCAUCUAUACCUACAACGGAAUUAAAAUCAAGUACCGUGGAAUUAGACCAACCUCACACAUCUCAGAAACUCAAUCUCACUGUGCCUGGAUUGCCAUUUGAAGCUGAAACUGGAGCCCUGGAGACAAAGAGUACACUCGUGGAAGAAAAAGAAACCUCCGACCCAAAAACUCUCCUCUAUGUACAAAAGGCAGGUAUCUGUAAUACAAUAGGUACUUACCGUAAAUUAAAUGCAACUAAAAUAUCA